ACAUAUUUGAAUGCUGUUAUGCCUUCUCUCUAUAGGCAUCUUGUGUUUAGGCUAAAUAGACCUAAUUCCUAAAAGCUUCUCUCAUAGGUCAUGUUCUCUAGAGCUCUGACCUUUCUUGUUCCUUUCCUCUGGACAUUAUCCAGUUUAUUUAUUUGCAUCAAUCUUCAAGUACAUUAGUAUGUUUAUCUAGCAUGUACAAUUUUGAUAAAUGUGGAGGAGGGAGGUUUUUUUUGUUGCCUUACUCAAAAUACAGUUUAUGAAACCUUCAAAUUUAGGUCCUAGGACAGCUGAAAUCUUGAUCCAACUCUGUUACAGAAUAACUCUGUCAUAGUUGACUUAAUGUUUUCUAUAUAAGAUGAGAAAUACUGAAAUACACUUCCAUAGAAAAAUACUUACAGGAAAUAGUUUCUGGAAUAAAACUGUAGAAGAUGGGGAGGUUGAAGUCUUGGUGCUAGCUUGUCUACUAUCCUAGUCAGAAUGGCUUGCUUCUCUGCUUCUGUUUUUUAAUGUGUCUGAAGUGAAUGCUGUUAAUUUAUAGAGAUUCACAGUGGGUUUUUUUAAGGGUUUGCUUUCACAGCUCAUUUAGGGUCACCACUGUUCAUAAUAACUGUUCUUAGUAAUACUAACUCUGGAUUGUUAAGCCAAGGACUGUCAUCACACUUCUGUUACUUACUUUUAUUUUUUCCCAUUGUAAUUUCAAAAAUACUCUGGCACCUUUGGUGCCUUUUGUUUUAUUUUUUGGCCAUUUUAGUGUAAAAUCAUAUUAGUUGCUUGGUUUGAUUCAGUGCAAAUCUUUGUAAGUGCCUAUGCAUAUGCAUUAAGACAUUGAGAAAGAAAGAAGGCAGAGCAUUACCUGGACUGAGUGGGCAAGAGAUGGCUUACAAGAGAUGGCUUGUCUUUCAUUUAGCACUAAGGCUUCCUUGUGCUGAGUUAAAGUAUAGGCUUGUGAAACUAGAGCUUUAGAGUUGGAAUGCUUUGUUUUAGUGUUUUGUGCUGUGAUAGAUUUCUGGAAGUAUUUUGUGCAACUUGAUCUGGUAAAGAAUCCAUCUUGAUGCCAUUCAUUGGGGCCUUAAAAGAUCCUCCCCCCACCCAGUAUGUUAGAAACCCUGAAUUUAUUGGUGUUCGUAACUUGAGAUAUUUCAACAGUUUUAGUCACGACCAGCAGAGAAAUCUUGGCCACUUAAAGUAAGUGAAGGUAACAUGUUGGAGAAACAUUAGAUCAGAGUUUGAUGUCAGCCAUGCAAUAAGAACUGUGCAGGACUACAUUACAGUAGGUUUUCUACUAAUGCUUACUUAACUUUUCCAGAUAAUUUUUAGAAGGAUUUUUGCAGAAGUAAUUAAGCUAUCAAAGAUGACUGUAACACCUUCUCCCUUUUGUGACACCAGAGUUUGGUUUUCACAGCCUUUGGGUUGAAGCAGUAAGGCAGCUUCUAGGAUGAAUUAAUAACAUGUAGUUGAUUCAAGUUGAGAUCUUUCCUCCUGUAUCUCAGUUAAUUUGUUUCUGCAGGAAGAUGAUUUUUAUAAGGAAAAUAACGUUUGUGUAUUGUGUAUAUUAUAGGUUUUUACUUCUUUGCAAGAACAACCUGUCGAAGGACCAUUUUUUCUUUUUUUUCUAGAGAUCUGUGCCCAAAUUGUGAUUCAAGAUAUAAUUGAAAAGGUCUGCAUUUUUGGGCUUACUUUUGGUGGACACACAAGAAAGGAAAAUUAAUGCAAACUGUAAACAUUUUUCCAAAUUUUGAUAUAUAUACAAAAGAAAAAAUUUGAAAAUCCUUCAGGAUUAGGGUUGGAUUUGUUGUUUUUAUGAGACCUGAGACACAGAAAUGCCGGCUAAUCAGCCUCUCACCACUGCAAAACCUUGUUUUAAGCUUUCAUAGCUGUAUUUUUAUUUUUUUUUUAAUUUUCAUUAAUGCAGCCUAGCUUUUUGUAAAAGCAGUUCCAUUCCCAUUAAGAUGUACUUCAGGUACCAGGGACUAAAUCAAGAAUAACUUUGAUGGGUGGAAAGUGUGGAACUAGUUAAUGUCUUGCUAACAUCAAGGAGUGUGCGACUUGCGAAACAAACUGUGUGGUUUCUGAAACAGAGUUGUACCCAGUUACUUUAGACACCUUCCAGUAUUGAAAACACAUGUGCCAUCUAUGUUGCAAACCAUAUCCUCAAGAAACAGAUUCCUAAAAUGGUGGGUUUAAAGCCUGAUGAAUGAGGUGGAUUUAAGAUGUAUUUUAAGUGGAACUACUCGUAUGGCUUUCUGUAUGCUAAAAUAUGCAUUUUUAAACCUCUGUAGAGUCUACCGAUUUUUAGCAUUGGUUUCUAUGGCAUUGUUUCACAGAUGUUUUCAUCGUUAUACCUUAAAGAUAGAGUAGUAUCUUUGAAAAUGUCAGUCUGGAAUAAACAAUUGAAAGAUUUCUUUGGCAAAAAGCCCCCAAGCAAAAAACUGUUGAAAUGUCCUUGUUUAAAUGUAUGUUUUAGCUGCUACAUUAAAGUGAUGAUAAACAAAGAGCUACCUUGGGAAUGCUCAAAUAUCUAUCAAAAUAGGUGUUCAAAAAAUUUUUUUUCCAUACAUCCCAUAGUUUAGAUUUCUAAGUUAGGUCUGAUUAGCUAAGUGAGCAUACACUUGCUUUCCUGAAGCACCCCCUGGAGGUAAGGAAUUCAAGUGUGUUGGCUUUUUUCCUUUGAUUGUAUAGGGCGUUCUGGUCCUAGCUCAGGCAAGACACUUAAGAGAGAUGCGUGGUUUGAAGUGGUAUGAAUACCUACUUAUUAAUGCAGUAAGACUAAGUAUUUUGUUUUGACCUUAUCUUCUCUCAAAUUGCAUAAAUCCUUCCAAUGUUUAGUCAACCUUACAGUUCUGCAGAGUUUUUGUAUGUAGAGGUAAGCAUGUGAAGUGUGUUAAUAAGUUACCAUGAAAGUGAUGUGGUCAGACUGACAAUAAUACAAUUUCAAGUUCAGUUCAACUUUCACAUUUUCAAUUUCUUGUUAGUUAAUAUUUUGUUAUUUGGGUGGGCUCAAGGUUUUAUAUUUUAAGUUCGGAGCUUCUACAAUGUACUUAGUUAGCCAUGAAUAAGUUAUAAAAAUGGUCCUUGUUCCAAUCCUGCUUUGUCAAGUGUAAUUGCUAUGCCUUUCUGAUGUGCCUUCUGUGAUAAUUUCAUUUGUGGAUCCAUACAUCACCUUAAAGCAGAGAAGCAGGUACACAGUUCCUUGACACAUCCUGUAAACAGCUGCAGAUCUGUUUGUGCAUCUGACAGUAGGCAGUAUCUGCUUAUUGGACUGUCUUGCCACCUGCUCUCAAAAUGCUAUUUCUGUCUGAAAAGAAACAGAUUCAGUCCAGUUCUGUAUAUAUACCCUGUGUUUAUACACUGAGCAGUACCCUACAGGCUAAAAGAAACAAAGCAGAAGGUGGAGGAACCACUUGGAGCAGUGACACCAGUCUAACAUUCUGUGAUGGAGCUGUGAACAUGUUUGUUUGGGAUACCAGCACUGUGUUUUUCUGAAUUCUGUCCAUGUUGUCAAAAUUCACGCAUGAUUUCUCUUUUUGUCUGUGAAAAGAAUAAGACUAUUAAAGCUUUUUCCUUAUA